GGAGGAGGAGGUGGAAGGGGAAUAAAAAAAUAACAAAAAGGAGGAAGAGAAGAAGAAAAGAACGGUGGAGGAAGGAGGUGAAUGGAGGCGAAGAAAGAAGAACAAAAAGGAGGAAGAUAAAAAGGAAAGAACGGUGGAGGAAGGAGGUGGAUGGAGGGCAAGAAAGAAGAAAAAGAAGAAGAAGAUGAAGGAGGAUCUGGUGGAGGAGGAGGGGAAGAAAGAAGAAAAAGUAAGAAGAGAAGUAGAAAAAGAAAAAGAAGGGGGGAGAAAAUCUGGAACACAAGGUUCUCCAAAGGUGAAUGUUGAACAUCAUCUUUGCAUAUAUUUGGAAAAAUAAAAUACUAUUGAAAAAAAGAAACUCUUCUUAAGGGUGCCAGAGACAGCAAAGAAAGCCCUUUUGGACUUGGGAUAGGAGAAGAACAUGAGUUAAAAAGAAUAGGACAUCAAGGAGGGUAAGAUACAGAAAGGUGACAGCUGAGAAGAUGGGUUGGAAAAAUAUGUCAGGGACUCAUGUCCCUUAGUGGUCUGUUCUUUGUAGUCUUGUCAUACCCAAGUUUAAAUCCUGUUUAGAAUUUUUUCUAAUUGUUUGAAAGCAGAAAAUUCAUUUAGAGUGUUUAAGCCUCUUUUUCUCCUAUUAAAAUUAGAUGGGAUUUGCACUCAGUGUUCCCUAAGAUUCCCUCUAACUCUAAAUCUAUGAUAGUCUUAGGAAAAAAAGAGAAGAGAAAAAGCGACUCAUUUUUGAAUGAGGAGAGCAAGGGGAAAAUGCUAUUAAAAAGGAAUGAGAGAAAGGAAGAAUUUUUGAAAAAAAAGGGGCCUGGAUAGAAAGAGAAAGACAGAAAGAGAAAGAGCUAGGGAGAAAAGGAGAAAUAUAGCGAUAAAAUCAGAGAGGCACAGAUAGAGAAACAGAGCACAACAGUGAAAAAGAAAAAGAGAAGGCUUGGAUAACAAACAGAGAAAUGAGGGGAAACCCCGUUAUGGAGGACAUUAAGCAAUAGAGCAAGAAGACCACAGGAUAUGGAGGGCUGUAAAGAGAAAGGAUCCCUUACUAAUGUAAGACAAGACUUGUAGGUGUUAUUGUUUUUUUUAGGGAGUUGGAGCAAGGUAGGAGGAAGGUAAAGAGAAAUAACAAGGGAGGGAGAGUAAGGAAAGAAGGGAGGGAGAAACAGAGAGAAAGAGAGACAGAGAGAGAGCAUGCAAACUGCUUGGUAAUGGGCAAGAAAGUAAAGGAAGAGAUCAUUGUGUCAGGGUAUGAACAACAGAAUUAAACCAUAGAUAAGAGAAAGAUUUAAAGGGGAAAGAUCUCUAGUGAUACUGGGGGAGGCCAUAAUGAUUAUAAAACCAGUGGAAGGAGAGAUGUAAAGGGAAGGGACAGCCUUACAAAAUGUAGGCAUAGCUAGGAAGCAUCUAUGUGCCCAGGUGGCUUGAUCACUGUAGUAUGAGGGGCAAGUACUUGAAUUUAAAUUCAACCCAGUAACUGAUAAAAUUAUUGCCCCGCCCAAGUCACUUAAAUGUUCUAGGCUACAGUUUCCUCCUUUGAAAAAUGCUGGGCUUGGAAAUACCCUCGUGGUGCUGUGUGUGGCAGAGGGCUAACAAAAUCUUUUGGAUUGUGAAGUUUGUGAGUGGAGGAAUGGGUACAGUGGUAAUUUUGCCUCAUCUGGAUGGACUUGAAAUGCAGGAAUUCCCUAACCUUCUAGUGACCUGAUAUUAGAAGUGUCCAUCCCCUCUAAAAAGAUCAUUUAAAGUAUUGUAACAACCAAUCGUCCUUGGAUAAGAGACCAUGAAUUUAUUUAUUUUGCAAAGGAAUUUUUCAUGAUUGUAAAAAUAGUUGAUUCUUUAACUUUAUUUCUGAACUUUAUCAUUAAACAGGAAAUAUAUUCCUAUUCCAAAUAGCCUGUCAAAGAGCAUUUAUUAAGUACCUACUACGUACAAGGAAGAGUACUGAGCGCUGGAGAUGUAAAGAAAAAGAAAAGGCAGUCGCUGCUGUAAGCUCCAACAGUCCACAAAAGGAAACGUCAGAAAACAACUAUGAACAAAGAAGACAUAGAGAUAGAAAGUAAAUUGGAAAUAAUCAACAGAAGGAAUUCAGGGAAAAGGGAAAUCUGUUCAUAUCUGGGGAGGCAGCUAGAUAUUAUAGCAGGAAAGAGACUUGACUUGAAAUGCAAAUUAUAUGAUUUUAAAUGUUGGCUCACAUACUGACAGCCUGGGUUGCCCUGAACAAGUAAGUUAACCUAUAUCUUAAUGAUAGAGUAAAUAAUGUCAAGAGCGAAGAGGAAGGAAGACCCCAUCGUAUUGAUGUGUAACAACAAAAGAAGAUUUGGCUGAUACUUGAAGGAGAUCCGAGAAGCCAAGAGGCUGAGAUGAUGAGGGAGAAUAUUUCAGGUGUGGGGGUGAGCCUGUGACAGCACGCAGAGUCAAAAGCUGGAGUAUCUUGCUUGAAGAACAGAAAGGAGAUCAGCAUGACUGGAUUUGAAAUUAUGAUUAAUACAAGGUAGAAGAAGACUGGAAAGGUAAUAAGAAGGGAUUUAAGAAGUAGCCAGGGGACUUUAUAUUUUGUUCCGGAAGUGAUUGAGAACCCCUGGAAUUCAUCACACUGGGGAAGGCAAUGGUCACAGGAGUUUUGGGAAGGUCAUGGUCAGACAGCUGAGUGAAGGAUAGACAGCAGUGGGGACAGACUUGUGGCUGAGGGCUUGUACCCUUAGUGUGGCAUAUAAAGUGAUUUUUUUAUUAGUUACAUUAAAAACCAACCAUGGUGCUUUGUGUCUUCCUCCUGCUCACAUAAGAGCAAGUUUUUCCCAACCUUUGUUGGCAAACUGAGACCCGAGUGAAACACGAAAAGAGUAUUUAAUUAUUUGUUGGUUAAGGCUUUCCUGAGAGGAUUGAUGUUCGUGGUGGCUAGAAUCUCCGGUGUGAGGACUUGCGAAACCGUUUUCAGGGCCGUCCAUCCAUCUUUAGUGUUUAGAUGGUCAGGCACCCAACUCUCAGCUCUGGCUCCAAGAAGUUUUAGCAUGUGCAGUGACCACAUCCUGGUAAACCAUCUCAUCAGAUGGGCUAAACUAGGCUGAGGGUAACUAAUAGGCCUCAUAUCUGUCUGGGAGUUGGGGGAGAUGUCUACCUCCAGCAUUUGGAGGCUUUCCCUACUGGAAUGGGCCAAUGAGAAUGAUCUGGUCCAACUGCCAUGAAGGCGGGUAAAGCAGAAAUUGGAGUGCUUAAAACUUGGUCAGACAUAGAAGAUGUGGGAACAUCAUGGCUGAUCAAGUCCUGAGAGGACUUGAAUGGGGCCUGUGGAUAGAUAUCCUUAUUGUGAGAGUCCCUGACUGUCACUGGUUUCUGAGGUAGCGCAAAGAUCAACUCUGUCUUUUCAUGUAUUAUAUGGAGAAUCCUGAUAUCUGUAAAAUAUUAAGUAGUAUAGUUCUUGUGGAGUAAAGCGUCCGUUUGCGGAGAUUACACCAAAUGAGGAGCCAACCUAACUAUGGAUCACCUGUGGCCACGAUAUUGUCCUUUUUCAGCUGCUGUCAUGGCCUCUGGAAAGGGAGCUUAGAACCAGGAUAAAGGGUCUUAUGUGUUGACAUUUGAUAGAGUGAGCAGUAUUUUGCUUGGGUUGUCCUUUGCUCUCAGAACUGUUGGUACUUGGUUUCUUGGUAAAUCCUUGUGGUCUGAUCACUAAAGGCAAAAGGGCUCAAGAGUGAGAGUUUUCCAAGUGAAACUUUCUGAGAUUUCUGGGAGAGAAUAAAUCUGUUUCUAUUGGGGGAAGUAGUUUUAUGUUUUAGCAAGGAGAAGAUGGGACUUGAGUGAAAAAUUAUGAGUUUAAAGGUUGGUGCAUACAUAGACAGCCUGGCUUACCCUGAGCAAGUAAGUUAACCUCUCUUGGCCUUGUGUUGUUCUUUAUCAAUUGAUGGAGUGAGAUUUCAGGGCCUCUCAGUUCUCUCCCAUUUUGUGAUGAUAUGGCUGUCUGAAAGAGAAAAGGAAGAGCCCAUCAGAUAGAUGUGUACAUAGGAGAGUACAUAAGAGGUUGGAUUUUAGCUAAUAAUUGAAGGAAGUCUAGGAAACCAGGAGACUGAGAUGAGGAGGAAGACCAUUUCUAGCUUGGAGGUGAGCCUAUACGAUGGCAGAAGUCAAGAGCUGGAUUGUCUUGCUUGAGGAACGGAAAGAAGCUCAGUGUCUCUGAAUAUGAAAUUAUAAUGUGAUCCAAGAUACAAGGAGAAUGGAAAGGUAUGGGGCAGGGCAGGUUGGUAAGGGCUAUACAUUGUAACUAAAGGCAUUUGUAUUUGAGCCUCCAAGUGAUUGGGAGUCCCUGGAGUUCUUUUCCUAAACGAAUAAAAUUAAGAAAAAGUAAGCAGAAAGAAGCAUUAACAGAUUCCUAUGGUUCUGUCUAUUCCUUCUGCUUAUCCAUCAGAUGAUAGCAUUAAGUUUUUCCAAAUAUUUUUUGGCAAACGAGAUCAGGGGAAAACACAUGAAAAGGGUGAGGUGUCAACUGUGGCUCUAAGAAGCUGUAGUAUAUGUAGUGACCACACAUUGGUAAACUGUCACACAUCAGAUGGGCCAAACCUCAUUGAGGACAACCAAUGGGUCUCAAACCCCAGUGGGUGAGUUAGGGGGAUGUCUACCUCAAGCACUCCCCUGGUGGAGUGGGCCUAGGAGAACUAUUUUUCUUUAGCCACGAAGGCAGGCGAAGUAGGCACUGUGGAGUACUUAAAGCUUAUUCAGACAUGGAAGACGCCAUACACUGCAUUCUGGGCCAUACCAGUAGUUGAAACGUUUUUCUUGCCACUGCACAAUAUUGGGGGGGGGGUAGAUGGAGAGAGGAACAAGAGAUGAGGAGGAUUAUGAGAGGAUGACAUACUGAGAAACAAAGAUAUACCUGAAAAUCACAUUUUAAGAAAGGAAAAUUUAACAAGAAAGAUAGGGAUUUUUUGUAGGUUUUGGAUAAGGGAGCACCCCGAACAAUAGUAAAAAGAAUGAUAUGAGAGACUAUUUUGUAGGGUUAGGAAAGAGUAAUUGAUAUAAUGGGAAAGCACAGUUAGAAGUGAGAGACAACUAGGGUUAGAGUCUUGAGACUAGAAUUAGGAACAUAUCGCUUCUAAUUUUCUCAAUUUUAAUAAAUAUAAAGCAAGAAAUCUUCAAAGUACUAAACAGUUACACCUAUUUCACAUGCAGGCAAGGUUAUGUUUUAAGAUUCUGAAAACUAGGUUUCAGCAGUAUGUAACUAGAGAAUUACCAGAAGAGCAGGCUAAUUUUGAAAGAGGCAGAGGAAAGACCACAUUGUCAAUAUUCAUUGGAUUGUGGAGAAAGCAAGGCAGUUCCAGAAAAUAAAACAAAACAAAAAACAUCUACUUCUCUUUCAUUGACUACACUAAAACAUCUGUAUGGAUCACAAUAAAAUAUGGUAAGUCUUCAAAGAGAUAGGAGUUACCUUCUGAGGAUCCCAUAUGCAGGUCAAGAAACUAAUGUGGAACAAUUGGUUUAUUUAGGAUUGGAAAAGGAAUACAAUAAGGCCGUAUAUUGAUAUCUUAUAUUUAACUUGCACGUAGAGUACAUCCUGUAAAAUACUCAGCUGGAAAAGCCAGAAUUAAGUUUGCCAGGAAAAAUAUCAACAAUGUCAGGUGUGCAGAUCCGGCCCCUCAUGGCAGAAUGGGAAGAACCAAAAGCCUUCUUAAUGAGGGCUAAGGUGGAAUCUGUAUAAAACUGGUUUGAAGCUUAACAUAAAAACCCCUUAAGAUUUUGGCAACUGUUUCUAUCACUUCCUGGCAAAUAAAGGGAAAAGAAAUGGAAGCAGUUUCAUCUUAGAUUCUUAGACUCAAAGAUUACCCAAGAUAGCAACUAUAGCCUUGAAAUUAAAAGAUGCUUGUUCCUUGGAAAGAAAGCUAUGGCAAAUCUCCUAAAAACAGAGACAUGACCUUGCUGACAAGGGUUCCUAUAAUCAAAGCUAUGGGUUUUCCAUUAGCAGUGUAUGGCUGUGAGAGUUGGAGUAUUAGGAAAGCUGAGUGCCAUAGAAUCGACACUAUGGAAUUAUGGUCCCGGAGAAAAUGUCUGAGAGUGCCUUGGAUGGCAAGGGGAUCAAAUAAGUCAGUACUUAAAUUAAUUUAGACUAUUUAUCAGAAUGUGAAAUACAAAAGCUGAGACUUAAAUGCUUUGGCUACAUAAUGAGAAGAGAGGAAACAUCAGAAAAAGCCUGAUGCUCGGAAAUAUUGAAGGUAAAUGGAAAAUGGGAUGGUAGAGGAUGAGCUAGAUAAUGUCAUGGAAGCCACAAACAUGAACUUGCUCAUACUUUCAAGAGAUUAUGGAUGAUAGAGGGGUGUAGCAUGCUCAAGUCCGGGGGCUAACAAAGAUUCAAAUAUGACUGAACAACUACCUAUUAGAUCUGUCACAGUGGCCAAGUCAUUUGAACUCUGGCUCCCCCAAUUUCCUCAAAUCUAAAAGGGGAAUCAUAAAAGUGUUGUCAUUCGGAUUAUCAAAUGACAUUCAUUUCUAACACAUACUUCCUGGAAUAGUUUAAGUACUUAAAUGUUUUUUUCUUCCUUCCCCCUUCAAAUGAAGGGUUGAAAUCAAGGGGUUCUAGGGAUGCAUUGAGGUUUAAAUCGAUAACAUCCAUAACCAUCGAAUAAAGAUAGUGACCAAUUCUCCUUUGGUGCAAAAGACCAUCUAAUAAUAGAUUUUGGAAGAAGGAAGAUAGGCCUAAGAAAGUAUUUCAAUAUGGACAGAGAUAAAGCAUAGAUUGGAAGAGAAACAUUAUCAAGCGAUUUCAGAGCAAGUUGGAUUAACAAUACACACAGAUGUAGAGACAGAAGAGCAGACACAGAUAUAGAAUAAGGAAAGAGGAAUAAACUACUCUUGCUAAUUGACCAUGGCAUGAGAGUAAGUGAAUAAGACUUUCACAGUCGCUGAUGCAGAGUAGAGAAAGCUGAAUGGCAUAUGUUUUUAGCAUCACAAGUGAAAUGGAAACCCUUCUCAAUGAUGGAGAAGGUUUAUUUUUCGGGGCAAGUUAGUCUGUCUCUGUCACAGGUUGCUCUACUGACAAAUGAGUCUGAGCAAUUUGUUUCAUGUAAAGCUGUUGGAAGUCUAAGGUCCUAUGAAUGAUAGAGGGGGAAAGGACCCUUGGUAUAAGAGAGGCAACAGAAAAAACAGAGGAAAUAUACACCACUGAAUAAAACCCUAAAACAGAAGACAGGAUUAUUCUGAAGAUCAAAGUAGAAAAUGAUUAUAAUUUGUGUUUGCGAGUCUCUGUCAUGUAACAGUCACUUAAAUUCUUUUUUUUUAAAGCUUCCUUUCUUAAAUGAUGAAGUGAAAACCAGUAGCCUCCGUGGGAACCUGAGAGAUGUAAUUAGAAGAUAAUAGUUGGGCUGUGGAGAAAAAAUGAAGACCACUACACAUUUGGAGGGAGCAACAGCCAGGAGAUAGGUUUUUGAGGAGAGAAUAGUGACAGAAAGAAUGCAAAGGAAAGAUCAGAAAGGAAGGAUUCCAAGCAACUUAGAGUCGUCAGCAGGGACAGAGACAGAGGUGAAGGGAUCAAAAGAGCAUGAGAAAUGACAUUAGAGAUAGAGAGAAAAUCAGCCAAAAUAGGCUUCUUAGUAAUUGACUUAGAAGAUAAGUGAAGCCUAAGGUAGCGUAAGGUGAGUGAUAGUUACAGUAGAUGUUUGAGAGACACACAGAGACAGAAAAUGAGGAGAAGAAAAAGAAGAGAUCGAGAGACUAAAAGUGAUAGGAAAGGAGAGGGAAUGGGAGAAUGGGCAAAAAAGAGAGUGGGAGGAAGAGGGAAAGAGGUUCAUAGAAAAGAUAAUUUCAGAUCUUGGGUAGUGAAGGUAGCUCAGUUUCAUAAUGGAAAGAGCACUGCUUUUAUCACAAGAAGUACAUGAGGCUGAAUCUCUUCUCAGUAAUGGAAAAGAUGUUAACCCAGAUGGAGAUGAUGGUGGCCACUUAGGGGACCUUCCAGUUGGAAGAUUCUAUCAGUGAAGAAGCGAGAAGGGCAAGCCCUAUGGGAGUGGAUGGUCAGGAAAGAGUUAGUGGGGAAGAGAACCACUGAAAGGUCUCGUCGACAUGGAUGGAGGGAGAGACAGAAAGUAAGCCUCCUACCAACCAGAACAUAUGCAGGUCUCCUUCAACAGAUCCACGAACACACGCAAUAAGAUCAGGAGGAGGAAGAGGAGAGACACAUUGACAGACACUGAGAACAACACAAGGACAGUUAAUCCAGCUUCUUCCCCUCUAAAAGGAUAACACUGGACUCCAGAACCUCUGAGGAUCCAUCCAAGAUCAUAUUGGAGCUUCUGGGAUUGAAGAAGAAAGAAGAAACAUACAACUUGGAAUUGGUAUGGAGGGAGAGAGUGAAAUACAGCCAAGAGCCUUGUGGGGAGGCCUGAGAAACAGAGUCAACUAGUGAGUAAAGAGUCAAUAGAGAAAGUUAAAAACAGAGCAAGACCAUAGGGUAGAAAAAGACAGGGAAGUGAGAAGACAGGGGCAAAAUGGGAAGAGACAGAAAAUAUAGAGAAAGGCAGGACAAUCUUUUAUAAUUGGAAAGGGAAGGAAAAUGAAGAAAGGCCAUUGGGGAGAGAGAUGAAGACAAAAGCAUAAGAUCAGAUGAGAGAGAUGAGAUGGGGAGACACAUAGAAAACAGGCAACUGAGCCAUACUGGAAAAGCCAACUAGAUGUCACAACAGAUCCUUGUCCUUGAAUCUAGAUCAGCCUGAGGUCAGCUCUGGACUCAGACACUUUCUCUGUGAGUCUGGGCAAGCACUUAAGCUCUGAGCCUCAGUUUCCAACCCUGCCAUGAGAGGUUGUAUUUCAUCAGCACUAAUACCCUUCCAAGUAUGAAUUUAUGAUCUUGGCAGUGAUCUAAGAUGAAAGAGUGGAAAAGACCUUUGUUCAGGGGAAGAAAAGGAGAUUCCUAGGGAAAGGGAAGGCAAGAGUAAAGGAGGGGUAAGGUCCUUGGGGAGAGAUGAAGAGAGAAACAUAUUAUGAAAUAUAGAUAAAGACUGUGAGCAGAGGAGUUAGGGUGGGAUAUGGAAAAAAAAAGAAUAACUGGGGAAGGAAGAAAGAAAGGAAGGGAUCAUUUUGGAUGAUAGGAGACAACAGAGUAAUGAGGAAAGUAGAAAGACAAAGGUGAGAGCUCCCUAAACAUGGGGAGGAAGAAACAAAGUAAAAUUAGGUUUAGAGAAGGAAGAGAGGGAGGAAAUAACUGAGGGGAUGCGGGGUCAUAGUCUUGGAAGCAGAAGCCAAGCAGCAGUUCUGCAGGGCCUAGAAAAAAGGAGAUGAAAAAACAAAUGGAAAAUAUCACUUGAGACAAGGAUGGGAAGGGACAUUUAGGGAUCUGCUAGAGACAAAGAGAAGGGAAAAGAGAGUAGAAAGUAAAGAAAAAGAGAUGGAGAGACAGAGACAGACAGGGACAGAGAGAUAACACACACACACACACACAUACACACACACACACACACACACACUAGAUAGACAUAUUAAAGGGAAAGGACCAUUAGGAAGAGAAGAGACAAGAAGAGGUAAAACAACACAGGGAAAGAAAAGGGAAAGAAAAGGAACUGAGUACAAGACUAAGAGAAGAGAGCAAGAAGACAGGACAGAAGAAGGGAGAAGCUGUCAGAUUAUAAGAAGAAACUGAUAUGGAUAGAAGGAGAGGGACAAAGAGAUAGAAAAAUUGGGUAUUAAAGAGGGCAAAAAGAUACAAGAGACAAAAAUGAGAAAAAAGGAAGAGAGCAAAGGAUGGGGGAAAAGAACAAUAGCACCAAAAUGAAGUGAGAAAAUGAAAAGAAUAAACUGUAAUAGGGAGUGAAGAGACAGUUAAAGGUAAGGGACCACUGAUUACAGGGAAGAGAGAGAAAGAAGGCAGAGCCUAGAGAGAGGAUAUAGAAGCGGAUAUUGGAAAUAGCAAGGGCUGGAGAAAAAAGAUAGCAUAGGGAGACUGGCAUGGGGAGAAAUAAAGGGGAAAAACACUGGUUAGGAAAAAAAUGAGAGAAAGACAGAAGGUUCUAUUGUAAAUAGGACUGGGGAGAGACAAGGGGAAUAGAUAAUGGAGGACAGUUAUGAGGGAUAAAAGGAUUUACCAUUAGGAAGGAGAAAAAAAAGGUGAGGAAAAAGGAAUACAUUAUUUGAGUGACAAAAAGGAACGGAAAACUGGGAUAGAGGAUAAGGAAAAAACAUGAAAAAAGAACAUUGAAUAUCUGGGGGAAAUACAGAGAAGACAGAAGAAUAUAUUUAUGCCUGAGAGAGUAAAAGAAUAACACACCUGCUAACGGAGGAAGACUAGGGACAGGCCUGGGCCCUGUGCUGAGUGUCCAGUGUAACAGGAGAGAAGAACAGGAGGGAUGAAGCAGAAGGGCUUGAAGAUGCUCUGAGUCAGCAAUGGCUACCAUUCCAUGAUAAAGAGAGGGGCAAAGGGGGAAAGGCCUAUGGAAGUGAAUGGGCAGAAAAGAGAGUUAGUGCGGAAGAGAACCAGCAAAAGUUCCACUUGGCAUGCAUGGAGAGAGAGAGAAAGUAAGUCUCCAGCAACCACAGUAGUAAGUAGAGGUAAUGUGCCCAACCUCUGCUUGUAACCUUAAUAGCUGUAAGGAUAUGCUGAAGGUCAUAUUACAUAAACUCUCCAGUUCAGGUUCUUUUUCUUUCAAUACAUGUGUUUUAGUGAAUGGAUACUCAGAUCCAUUCUCUCUAAUAUUUUCUGCUUUUCCAAUGAAGAAGGGGAAAAAAUCUUGAAGUAAGAGUAGAGGAAGAGAGAUUGAGAUUAAAGGGAAAGGCUUUUGAGGAAGAGAGAGAAAUGUUGGGAAGUGAAUAGCCUGUAGAGGGGAAAGGGAAAGUCAGCGGAAGGGUCUAAGCAAGGAUGUGGGGACACAGAGAGGAGGCUAGUACAGCAGGCAGAGAGGGAGACAGAGAUACAGGUGGAUUCCACACAGGAGAAUCAGAGAUUUUCAGAAAAAGAAGAUUCCUUGACAAUGAAAGAGACAGGGAGAGAAGAGAACACUGUGUCAAGGAAGUAGAUCUUUAUGACCAAGGGGGCCUAAAUAAACCCAGCAAGGAUCAAAGAGAAAGGAAUAAUAGGGAUUGCUUGGGGUAGGCAAGUGGCAAUUGAGGAUGGAGAGAGCAAAGCACUUGAUAUCAGAUAAUACUUCAGACCUUUUCAUGCAUGAAUUUGCUUCAGGAAAACAUUGAAGGUCUGUCAGGCUAGGCUUGGUCCUCUGUAAUAUAUUUGAGGGCUUCUUUGAUGACCUUUAAGGUCCCUUCAGUGUUUAAAAUCUAAAGAAUUGUGGAAAGGAGAAAGAAAACCCCUUGCGGGGUUGAGAUGGGAGGAGAAAUUGAGUAUUAAAAAAUCUCUGAGCAGAGGAGAGACACAGGGAAUAUCCAGAGAUGGAGAGAAAGUGUUGGAAAGGGAGAAAAGGAAGGAACCAUUUACAAUGGAGAUAAGCAGAGAUGAAAAUGCUACUGAAAAAUUGUUGACUGAUUUUGAAAGACAAGGGAGGGAUACUGAGGGAGAGAUCUAAAAGGAAGAAAAUAUGCUUUGCAAACACUAUGUCACUUGAUACCUAGGACAGCUCCAUGCAGUUGGAUAUUUCAUCUCCAUUUUAUACUUAAGGCAAAAAAUACAUCGAGAUUGUGACCAGCCUCGAUUCACUCAGUAAGAAAUAUCUAAAGUUUAAUUUGAACUCGGGUCCGACAGACUCCAGGCCCAGCACUCUUUCCAAUGCACAGGACAUGUCCCUGAGCCUCACUGAUUUGAGUGCAGAUCCUACUAUCCACUCUGUCUCUAUAACUCUGUUCAGAUCUCUGUCACUCUCCCAGGCUCAGCUUCCUUCUCUCUUAAAUGAUGAGAUUAUACGUAGAAGCCUGUGAGGACAUGUCCAACACUCAAUCUGUGAUUGAAGGAGAAAUAAGAAACAUGUAACUUAGCAUUGGGCUAGAGGGAGGAAGCAUGAAAUAGAGAAAAGAGGUUUGUAAGGAAGUCAGAGAAAUGGAGGGAGUGGACUAGUGUGGAAAGAGGAGAGACAGAAAGGGAAAAGGAAGGCAUGGCAAUGGAUUUGGGGGAGAGACAGACCAAAGGGCAGAAGGAGUCAGAGAAGUGAGAGAAAAGGGGGGAAGGGGAAAAGAGAGAAAGAAAGAACUUGAGAUAGAGAAAGCAAAAUAAUAUACAAAGAAUCUUUAACUUAAAGGACAGGGAAAAUGAAGGAAUACAAUUGCGUAGAGGGGUGAAAGACAUUUCAGAGGUCAUUAGAAAGGGAAAUUGUGAAAGGAAAGUGACAGCAGGUGAUGGAGGGAAAUCUUCUUAGAGGUUUAAACAGAUGAGACACUGAUAAACAUUACCUAAGAGUUUCUCAGCCUUAGGUUGCUCCCCUGAAGAAAGUGAUUGUAUUUCAUGGGUCUCUGGUCCUUUCCAUCUCUAAAUCCGUAAUCCUAUGAGUGAUGAAAUGUCAAAACCACUAUUUCAUAUAUGUUGUCUCUUGCAAUUAUAAUUCUAUGAUUUCAUGAGUGAUGCAAGAAGACAGUGAGGAAAAGACCAUUGUUUAGGGGAAAGAGGAAGAGACCACUGAGGAGAAAGGACAAAGAAAGGAUUUACUAGGUCUCUGUGGAGAGACAAAGAGAUAUAUGGCAAGAAGAGUGUGAGUAACACAGUUGGUGUAGUGGGGGAAGAAAAAAUGAUCUUUGGGUGAAAAAGGAAGGGAAGAGAAAAGAGAAGGAGCCAUUUUGGAGGUAAGAAGAGGGAAAAGGUGACUAAGAUGGGAUAGGGUGGAGGAGACAAAGGCAAUAAUGUAGUAAACAUGGGAGCCAGAGAAAUCCCCCACUAGGGAGGAACAGCAUUAGGCAGAAAGGAAAGAGAUUACUGGGGAUAGAAAAUUUAUUAGACAGUUGAAUUCAAGAAAUUGUGUAUGGCCUAGGGGAAAGGAGAAAGGGGAUUCAGACAUCUUGGGAAAGGGGAGAGAAAGGGACCACUGUGCAGCUGGAGGUUAAGGACACAGAGUGAGAGACAAAAAGUUAUAGAUAGAAAAACACAGAAACACACACAGCCCCAUAAAGAGAGAAGUUUUAGGAAAGGACCAGAAGGGAGAGAGGACAGAAGCAGAUGGAAGAGAUCACUGGGAAAGGAAGGAGGGGAGAGAAAAGGAGGAAAUAUGGGGAAUAAAGGCAGGGAGAAUGGAGACAGUACUAAAGUAAGGGGAAGGAGCAGUGAGAAAAUGAGACGGGCUUAGUUUGCAUAGAAAAGGGGAAAAAUGGAAAAAACAAAGUAACACUACAUAUUAAGAAGAGCAAAACAGGGAAGGAAUCACUAGGAAAGAUAAGUAGGUACUAGCAAGCCAAAGCAAACUUAGAGAAUGUGGAAGUAAGGAAAAAAGCAAAAAAAGAAAAGGUUGAGAGAAAUUGAGAAGGAGAAACAGUGUUGGGGAGGGAGGAAACAAGGAAAAGUUACAGCUCACUGAUUAGAGAAAAGGAGGAGAAAAAAUGAAGGGAGAGACCAUUGUGUAAGAUGGGGAAAGAAAAAGGGAAAGAAGCACUGUUGAGGAAGAAGAGGGAGAGAGCAACUGGGAGAGGACCACUGGAAAAAGUGGAGAGGGGAGAUACAAAGGGAAAGAACAAUGGAGCAUAGAGAUGGAGGGAGAAGGAAGGUACCAUUAGGGUACUGAGCGAAGAAAACCUGGUGACAAGAAGUAGAGAGAAAGGACCAAUGGGAAAAGAAGAGAGAGGAAAUAGAAAGGUAAGAUACCAUGGAUGAUGGGGAUGGAAGGAGAUGGAAGGUAACAUUAAGGAGGGGAGACAAAGCAGAGAAAUAAAUGGAAAGAAGCCGUGGAGAUAGGGGCAAAGUGACAAAAGGAACAUAUGGUGGGAUCUGGGAUGGAGAAAAUGGAAAAAGCAAGUGAAGAGUACAUUAUGAACCCCUAGGGGAAAUAGAAGAGAGCAGAAAAGAGAGUGCCUGUGGGAGGACGGCCAAGGGCUACAGAGCAAAGGAAGAAAGCACUUGCUAAGGGGGGAGGGAUGGGACAGGCCUGGGCCCUGUACAGCCUGUGCAGUGAGGCAGGAGGGAAGAGCAGGAAGGAUAAAGCCAAAGGGCCCGAGGAUGCUCUGAGGCAGCAAGGGCUCACAGUGGAUAUGACUGUCAGGGAAACUGAGGGGAAUUUUAAAUCCAAGAUUGCCACCCACAGGCUGGAGAUGGAAGUGCCCAGGUGGGGGAUGGGAAGGGAGAAAAUAACAGACCAAUGAGGAGAGAGCUGGGGCCAGAGGGAGGGGCCAUGCUGGACAGAGCCAUGGGCUGGAGGUCAAGUCAGGCUGAAGUGGAGGCUGCCUCACAAACUCAGAGAUGUGUGAGCCUGCACAAGGCCCUUGGCACCUGCUUUAGACCACAGUCUCUUCUCCUUUUAAAUGAUGCUCUUGAAAUCAAAGGCUUUUAAUUCUGUGCUUUUAUGACAAAUAAGAGGAAAGUCUGAGGAUUGAAGGGGAGGAGUGAAAAGCAGUUAGAGACCAAACUCCAUUAGAGAGACAGACAAAAGCACAGAAAUAGUGACAAAGAUAGAGACAUCAAAAAGGGACCACAGAGAACUGGAAGAGUGAUGGUGGGGGGUGAGGCAACUGGUUCUCCCAGUGUGUGCUUGGGGUCAGGAGGACUCGAGUUCAAAUGCUAGGAACAAACCUCCUUGUUCCAUGUCCAGGAACAGGUACGUUUAAUGGACUAAGCUUCAGGUUUGUCAACGUGAGACUCAGUUCACUGUCAUGGUCCCUUCUAGCUGGAAACUUCUGAUGUAUCAGUGAGAGAAAGGGGAAAAGAGGUUCUGUGGCCUUGCUCUGGUGCCUCCAAAGCAGAGUGUAAAAGCUGCUAAAGUGUCCUGGGGAAUGGAGGCAGGAAGAAGGAGCAGGACAAGCUCCACUGAGUGCAAAGGAGAGGGGGAGAAGGAAAGAGGUGGGAAAACAGGAGAUGGGGGGGGGAAGAUGGAGGGGAGAGCACUUGGAGGGGGCCAGUUUGGGAGGGACAGUCAGAGAGAGAUAAAGAGAAAGGGAAAGACUUUUUGCUAAUUGGAGAUGGAGGGUGGGAGGUUACCACUUUGUGGGAUGGGAGAGGAAGGAGAGGAGGGAGGUAAAGGACCUAGUUGGGUCUAGGAGGGAGCUCAUUGCCAGAACACAUAGAAGGUUUUACCUGGUUCCAAUCACCCUGACUUAGGACCUGGCUUCUAAACAUUAGGACCUGCCAAAUUACUUAAUUUUUUUCAGUUUGUAUUUCCUCCUCUAAAACAAGAUGGAAAUGGAGUUGGCCCCUCUGGGCUCUUCCAGGUGAAUGAUCCUCUCAGCGAUAGAGGGAGCAACAGGGCAGGGGGGAGGCCCUGGGAAGGGAAUAGGCAGGAAAGAAAGUUAGUGGGGAAGAGACAAGAAGAAGGCCCACUCGGCCUGGAUGGUGGGAGACAGAGAAAGGUAAGUGUCCAAUAACCAGAGUAAGGUAAGUAGAGGGAAAGUGCUCCAGCUCUGCUUGUAGCCUUACUGGCUGUUUGGCCCUCAGCAUAUCCCAUACACUCUGCAGCUCAGGUUCCUUUUCUCUCAAUAGGUGUGUUUGGACUGCAUGGACACUGAAUCUCACUUCCUCUACACUUACAUCAAGUAGUUUUCCCCUUUUCUUUUGGCAAACCAUAAUAUAUUAGAGAGUUGGAAUGGAUCUGAGAGUAAGGGCAAGGCUUUUGAGGAAGGAAGACAAACGUUGGGAACUGAAUAGCCUGUAGAGAGGAAAGAGGCAGAGGAAGGGGCCAAGCAAGGAUGUGGGGACACAGAGAGGACGCUAGUCCAGCAGGCAGAGAGGGAGACAGAGAGACACAGGUGGAUUCCACACAGGAGAACCAGAGAUGUUCAGAGAGAGAAGAUUCCUUGGCAAUGAAAGAGCCAGAGAGGGAAGAGAACAGUGUCAAGGAAGUAGAUCUUUAUGACCAUGGGGGACUAAGUAAACCCAAUAAGGAUCAAAGAGAAAGGGAAAGUGAAGAUUGCCUCGGGUAGGCAAAUGGUAAUUAAGGAUGGAGAAAGCAAAGCACUUGAGAUCAGAUAAAUCCUCAGACCUUUUCAUGUAUGAACUAACUUCAGGAGGACAUUGAAGGCCUCUCAGGCUCAGCUUCCUCUGUAAGAUAUUUGAGGGCUGCUUUGAUGACCUUUAAGGUCCCUUCCAUGUUUAAAAUCCUAAGAAUUGUGCAAAGGAGAAAAAAAAUCCCCUUGGGGAAUGGAGAUGGCAGGAGAAAUUGAGCAUUAAAAGAUCUCUGAGUAGGGGAGGGACAGAGGGAAUGGCCAGAGGGGGAGAGAAAGUGUUGCAAAGGGAGAAAAGGAAGGGGCCAUUUACAGUGGAGGUAAGAUAGAGAUGAAAAUGGUACUUAAAAAUUAUUGACUGUGAUUUUGAAAGCUAAGGGAGGGAAGGAGAGGGAGCAAUCUAAAAGGAAGAAAAUAUGCUUUGCAAUUUUGGUGUCACUUGAUACCUAGGACAGCUCCAUGCAGCUGGAUAUAUCACCUCCAUUUUAUACUUAUGGGAAAGAUACAUUGAAAUUGUGACUAGCCCAGGUUCACUCAGUAAGAAAAUCUAAAGUUUAAUUUGAACUCGGGUGCGACAGACUCCAGGCCCAGCACUCUUUCCAAUGCACAGGCCCUGUCCCUGGAUCCUUGCUCAUUUGAGCACAGAUCCUACUCUCGACUCUGUCUCUAUAAUUCUGUGCAAAUCUCUGUCACUCUCCCAGUCUCAGCUUCCUUGUCUCCCAAAUGAUGAGAUUAUACAUAGAAACCUGUCAAUCUGUGAUUGAAGGAGAAAGAAGAAAUAUGUAACUUAGCAUUGGGCUAGAGGGAGGGAGCUGGAAGUAGAGAAAAGAGGUUUGUAAGGAAGACAGAGAAAUGGAGGGACUAGUGUGGAAAGAGGAGCAACAGAAAGGGAAAAGGAAGGGAUGGCAAUGGAUUGCAGGGAGAGAGACCAAAGGGUAGAAGGAAGCAGAGAAGACAGAGAAAAGGGGGAAGGGAGACACACACACAGAGCGAGAGACAAACACAGAGACCGAGAAAGAAAAAUAAUAUACAUAGAAAUCUUUAACUUGAAAGCAGAGAGAAAAUGAAAGAAGAUCUUUGUGGAGAGAGCUGAUAGACAUAUCUGAGAUCAUUAGAAAGGGAGAUUGUGAAAGGAAAGUGACGGCAGGCGAUACAAAGAGAUCUCAUUACAAGUUUAGGAAGAUGGAAACAGACACUGAUAAAGAGCAACUCGGAGAUUUCAAGAUUCAGUUUUCUCCCUGAAGAAAAUUAUUGUAUUCCAUGGCCCUGAGGUCCUUUUCAGCUCUACAUCUGUAAUCCUAUGAGUGAAGAAAGGCAAAAACACUAUUUCAUAUAUGUUUUGUCUCUUGCAAUUAUAAAUUUAUGAUUUCAUGAGUGAUGCAAGAAGACACUGAGGAAAAGACCAUUCUUUAUGGGGAAGAGGAAUAGACAGACCAUUGAGGUGAGAGGAGAAAGGAGAAAGAAAGCAUUUACUAGGUCUCUGGGGAGAGACAAAGAGAAAAGGCCACUAAGGUAUAUGGCAGAAGAGUGUCACUAGUACAAUUGAGGUAGUGGCGGAAGAGAAAAAUAGCUUUCACUGAAAAAGGAAGGGAAGAAAAAAGAGAAGGAGCCAUUUUGGAUGUGAGAAGAGGGAAGAAGGGAAGAAUUGAUUAAGAUGGGAUGUGACAGAGGAGACAAAGGGAAUAAUGUAUUAAACAUGGGAGCCAGAGAAAUCCCCCACUAGGGAGGAACACCAUUAGGCAGAAAGGAAAGAGAUUACUGGGGAUAGGGAAUUUAUUAGACAGUCAAACUCAAGAAAUUGUGUAGGGCCUAGGGGAAAGGGGAAGGGGGAUUCAGAUAUUUUGGGAAAUGGGAAGGCAAGGAACCUCUGCGCAGCUGGAGAUUAAGGACAGAGACAGAGUGAGAGACAAAAAGAAAUAGAAAAACACAGAGAUAUACACAACCCCACAGAGAGAGAAGUAUUAGGAAAGGACCAGAAAGGAGAGAGGACAGAAGCAGAUGGAAGAGAUCACUGGGAAAGGAAGGAGGGGAGACAAAAGGAGGAAAUAUGGGGAAUAAAGGCAGGGAGAAUGGAGAUAGUACUCAAGUAAGGUCAAGGAGCAGUGAGAAAAUGAGAAGGGCUUAGUUUGCAUAGAAAA